ACUGCGCACUUUAUUUUAUAAUAGCUUGGCUGACAGGCUGCUCUUGCUUACUCUCGUGCGGCUAUCGAUCUAAAAUGAGGCACCAGUAUAUGUUAAAAGACAGCCCUUGCGGGGAUUGCUUGGUUCAUGUUUUCUGCGAGUUGUGCGCCUUGUGUCAAGAAUAUCGCGAGCUCAAAUCCCGUGGAUUCGACAUGUCUCUUGGUAAUUAAUUUAAUUCUCUGAUGAUGACCCUUUAUUAAAUUAUUAAAUCAUUUUUUAAAUUAGUUUCCUGUCUGAAUUUUAUUUGGCUGUGUGCAAAACUAUCUUACAAAAUUUUAUACAUUUUUUUUUUUAAUUUAUAUGCAUAGGAUGGCAAGGAAAUUUGGAGAAACAAAAUAAGGGAUUGGCAAUGGCUUCAACGGCUCCGGUGGUGGAAGGUGGCAUGACAAGAUAAAGUGGAUGAUCUUCAGAUAUACAAAAUAAAUUCAUCUACUUAAUUUUAUACAAUUAGUAAAUAUGUGAACCGAAUAAUUAUAUGCUGUUACUUAAUAAUUGAGCUCUUUUAGAUCUCACUCUCAACGCUGGGCGUUUGAAAUUUGAGAUUUUUAAUUUUCUUUUAUGUACCUUUUCUGUUUAAAACUCUGAUCUUCCAAUUAGCAUUGUGCCGUGUUAAUUACGUAGUCAGUCAAGCAUAAACGCAACUACUGUUUCUUUAAAGAAAAGAAAGCAAAUGGGUUGGUCCCGGCAUUGCAAACACAAUGUGCUUUAGGUAGUCCCAUAUGGGGCUAAAUGGCUGUUCUAGGCUAAACCCAAUUAAGACUUCGUUGGGUCUACUCGAGGGGAAACCUUAUUAUUAUUAUUAUUAUUAUUAGGCUUUGGCUAAGUUAUGUUAAACGUAACUUACGCCAGAUACAGCAACAAUGCUAGUGAUGGGACUUGUCACUGUUGCUGUGCCUGGCGUAAGUUACGUUUAACGUAACUUAGCCGACUCCUUAUUAUUAUUAUUCUUCCUCACGUGUGUGAUUCUAACUCAGACAUGUUGUGCAUUUGAAAAAAUUACAUUAGGCUAACACACACCUAUGACGAUGAAUGCCAAAUGACUUCCAAACUAACGGCAACUGACUUGAAAUAUAAAUAAAUAAACAAUUGUCUCAUAGGCUUAAGUAAUUGGUUUUAAGUAUAUUUAUUUGGCUGGCCAUUUCAAUUUGAAUACUAGGGAGUAUGAGGUUAAAAAUUAAUUUUAAAUUUAUCCAUACCCUUUAUAUUUUAAUAUAUAAUAUACUUUGUCAAUAAUGUAAAUGUUAAAAUUUUAAUUUUUAAUUAAUUAUAACUGAUCCCCAAUGAGGACGAUAUAUUGUAGUAAAGACAAGUAAGAAGAAUCUUAUAGAUAUAAAGAAUCAAUCACCACUUCAUGACAAAUUUUCUUCAUCACUAUCAUAAUUAUUAUCAAGUACGUAGUUGUAUGCUUUACUUCUUAAAAGCCGGUGUAUUAUUGUAUAAAGUCUAUUUUACUCAAUUUCAAAUUAAGACAAACAAUCGAUAAAGUUUUUCACACAUACUGUCAAAAUCAUAAUUAGCUUAUUAUUCAAACAAUUUUUUUGGGAAUAAAUAAUGAUUGGAAUUAAAUGUUUGUCGUAUUUCAAUCCGUUGAUCGAGGCCCUUCAGCAUGCUUAACUACCAAAAUUUAAAAUAAAAGUUGCCAUAUUUCUUAAAAAAUCAAUUGGUGAGUAGGUAACCAACAUUAAGCAAUUUAACUUCAUCCUUCUGUGGUCCUCAGGGUGGCGGCUGGCCCAUAAGGCUAACACAAUCAAUAGCUUUACUUUUAUUCUUCUUGAAAGCCGGUAAUACAGCAUCCGCAAUGUUAACACCUUUGGAACCAUUGGGUGAUGCAGUUUUGAUGAAAAGGAUGGUAACAGAAUGAAUGGAGGAUCAUCAAUGCUGAUCCAGCCACAGACUUGUCGAAACAAAUACCACAUCUUUCUUCAUCACUAGAGUUGUCACUCACUAUAUAUUUCAGGCUCCCCAAAAGCUCAACAGCUUGCUCCCUCUCUACAAUUAUCACACGGAUAACAUGUACCUCGACAACAAACAGCACCGACUUGUUAGCUACAGUCCUGGAAUUCUCAGCAAUAAUUUCACGACAUUGUGAUAUUGUCUCAUCGCAUGUUUUGCAUCAACUGUUAAAUCUUCAUCUCCGAAAACACACCGCAAAUAAUACCAUCACAAGAUGAUGAUGACUUAAUAACGCCUCCAUAUCAUCAAUCUGGAUGUAUAUAAUUUCCCCAGCUGAUCAUGGGCAUCUCCAUGCUGUCAAAUACUCUCACUUUAUUUCCAAAUGUUGUUGCGGUUCACAAUAACAGUUGGUCGGAAUGAGGACGAACAUAAAACUUAAUUGAAGAUUUUGCUCGCCAUUAAUGAACAACACUUUGUGUCUUUUUUAUACUCACGUUAUAAUCUGAUGUCAACUCUGUGUUGAUGGGUGUGCAAGGUUACAACGGUUUAAGAUAAUAUGAAUUUUUAUGGUUUUCAAGGGUUUGGUUUUUUUUUUUUUUGGUAAUUAAGCGUCGUUAUUAGUUAUGUAUUUUAAAUCCUAAUAUCAUUAGGAUUGAUUUCCAAUCUUAUAAUCCGUUUCGUGAAAGAAAAGAAAGAUUAAUUCAAUAAUACUACUUUCUUAAUUCUAAUACUCUAUGCGAAGGAUAUAAAAUGGGGAAACUUCUAUAUCCAAAUAGCCAUGGCCAUGGGUGUUUGGCAUUUACAUCAACUUUUCAAAUAAUGGUUAAUUUCAUCUCUCCAGAAGUGAUGCUUGAAAGUGAUUUUUCCUUUGAAGGUUAGGGUUUAUGUAUCAUGCUUACAAACAGAACAACCCAAAAAAUCGCUUACAGAGUGAAGAAUAAAAGAAAAGUUAAAAAAAUUAAUACUAGAUGGGUUUCAGUUUAUACAAGCUUAAGCAUGUACCUGUAACACAGAGAAAGGACAUGAAAUUGAGAUCAUAGUAGUUAUUGUAACACCUCAAUCCGAAAUCUAAGCGCAAAUAUGUCCACAACUCACAUAUGAAUUUAAAAUAACUCUUUACAACCGAUAAAUUUCGAGCCUCAAAUAAAAAAGCCAGCGGGAUAACUUAAAAACUUAACCAAACCAUCUACUAUCCUCAAUUCAAAUCCAUCUUCUCACUCAUCACGAAUCAAUCCUGACUUCUGAAAACGGAAUCAUAAUAAACUAUAAUGAGUAUAAAAUUUAGUAAGUAAACUAGUUUUUCUUAUACGAAAGUACAUACAUACUUAUACAUAAUGCAGAUGGAUGAUAUGCCAUGAUCUUUUAGAAAUAUUGUAAAAUAAUUUCAUAAAAAUCUCUUUCUAUCGCUUUCAAACUUUUUCAUUUUCUUUCGAUGAAAUACGUAUCCUGCAAUGUGGCACUUUGUGCUGUGCGUGACACUUUGCACCAUGCGUGGCACUUUACAGUGCUCUGUCCCUCAAGAGUUGGCCCCCGCAUAGUCUCAAGAGGUGGCUCCCACACAACUUCAAGAGGUGGCCCCCAAUGCAAAAUUUGAUAAAACAGAAAUUUCGUUUGCUAAAAUCCAUUUUCUCGUUCAUAGAAAACUCAAUGUAUUUUCGUGCUCAUGCCAAUGAACCAUCACACAUACAUAUGCCCAUGUACAUAAUCAUGCUCAACACAUAACAACACAUCACAUAAACAUAUGGGCAAAGACAUAUAGAUCCAUAUUCGUACAUAUCAAAAUAAGCUUUUCACACAAGUCAAACAUAUAUCUUGUUUAUUGUGAUUCGUUUUGAAGUCUAGUUUACUUACCUCUUGGCAUCCUCAUGUAACAAAUGCGUACUGAUACCAUCAACCUAAAAUCAUCAAUAAAUUCUCAUAAGAUAUAAUCAAAUCUCAAUCAUAAACUCUAAUGUCCUCAAAUAUCUCAAUUUAAACAACUCUUAAGCUCAACCUCAAAUGUCCUCAAUAAUCGACCCUUAAAACAUAACAGUUCAUACUUCUCCGAUUUUUAAUAAAUUAUUCUCUUAUUGGAAGAAUCUCAAAUUUUACAGACCAUAUGCUGACACAUUGAAAGUUCAUUGAUAAAAGUUUCAUAGCAUAAUUCCUUCCAAAACGAUUGAAAAUAAUUCACGUUUCAGACAUCAUCAAUAUUGUCAAACAGUUUUCUGUUUUGAACACACUUAUUUUAAAAAUACAAAACAAUUUAUUUAUUUAUCAUAAAAUCAUGAAAAUUUCCAGAAUCGUACUAGACAUAUAUAAAAAUCAUUGGUCCAAAUUUCAUAAUUUUUGAAGAAGUCUAGAUAUGGUAGAAAUAAUUUCGUAAUUCACUGAAAUCAUAAAUUUCUAGGUUUUCAGACUUGAUUUGAAAAAUCAUAAUUAAUUGAAAUCUUAUCCGAUUAACUUGAAACAAGUUUCAAAACAUAUUAGACGAUGUCUAGUUUAACAUACCUAAAAAUCAGAAUCAAAAUCAAUUUGUACAAAUUACUAUGAUUUUCGUAAUAAUUCACUGUCAGCAUAUUUAUGUAAAAUCUUUUAUUUCUACUUCUAUUACAAUCAUGCUUCUCCACAACAAUUUAAUAGAAACCAAUAAUUAAAACGUACCUCCAAAACUUCUCCCAACAAUAACAACUUGAUCCCAUGUGUUGACUAUGGCAAAAACUAAGAAGAAGAAGUUUCUUCUUCUCUUUUUUCUUUUUUUUUUCUCUCUUGUCUCUCCAUCUCUCUUUUUUAACCGAUCUCUCUUUUUCUCUCUCUUAUAAUGAAAAAGACAUAUCGUUUUAUUUAUACUAGGGUAAAAAGGAUCACUAAAAAUUAAAAAAACUUAAAUACCCUUAGGAGAUUUGGUGUAUUACAGUUAUUAUAUUGACUGCAUCAUAAUUGUUGAAUGAAUUGGUGAUUAAAACCACUGGAUCUGUUUAAAGACAAAGUACGAAAAUAUAUUCGUAUUUAAUUCAAGGCCUUCUAUCAGGCACAUAACUAGCAUACUAAAAAAAAUCUCAACUUCCAAUACUAAUAUCUCAUAUUCUCAUUCUCUAACAAGCUAAGCAUUGAAACUGGUGAAGCAUACGCAUAUUCACAAAUCAUUCAGGUACUAGCCAAGUAAAAAGCAUGGAACAAUUAUCUUAGAAUAUAUUGACUGUCUUUUUUAAAAAUUUACAUGAAUCAAUUCAGCCUCAUAUUUCAUAUCAUCAUGAGAAUGAACUCACCCAAUAUUGCUUGCUGACAGACAAUUUAGUCAUUUGACAGUAGGGAUGGUAAAAUGUGGCUUGGGCUGGGCGUCUCCAAGCCUAGGCCCAAGUCCAACACUUAUACUUUUUUAAAAUGGACUUGGUCAGAUUUAAGCUUUCAAUUAUUUUAAACUUGAAAUGAAUUAAUGAUCAACAAAUUAUUAUAAUCAAUAAUAAAUUAAAGAAAAUAAUAUUUUAAAAUAAAAUAAUAAAUAAAGAAAAUGAAGAAAGUAAAAGCUUAGAGAAUUAAUUUUUUAAUAUUAGAUUUUUUUAAUUCAAACACCCCCUUAGUUAAUUAACACUUAAGAUAGAGUUUAGUAUUAUAAUUUUAGAUUUUUUAAGUCAUUAUUGGUUUAUCAAUUAGGGUUUAAGUUUUAUUUUUUAUUUUUAUUAUUUUUAGAUUUUAAUUUAUUAUAGUUUAUGAAUUUAUUUUUUAAAAAAUAGAGGGUUGGACCUGGUCCAAAAUUUUUUUUUUCUUAAACUCUUGUCCAAACCCUCCUCCCGUGGAGGGUCAAACCAAAAACAUGUGGGCUUGGAUUAGGCCAGCCCAGGCACUUUGGCCCACCCUAUUUGGCAGGACCACAAUGCUGAUAAAGAUUGAUAACAACCGGUGUACUUAGGAAAUUGAUCAAUUAAAUUAAUGACAUAAUAAAAGAUUUUACAAAUAGAAACAGACUAUAUAUACGAGAAAUGAUUUAGUAGGUGACUGUGCUUACCAUAUGGUGAAUGAGAGUGUCAUAUGACAUUGUCUCGUUAAUCUACGAUUUUGGUACUAUUCAUAAGAAGUCAAGAUUCUGCUACAUGUCCAGGUGUCAAGGAAAACCGAGUUCAUGCCCGAUAGUGUUGGCAACCCCAACUUUUAGAAAAUUUAUGAAAUGCAAGAUAAAAUUAAAAAGUAUUUAAGUCUGAAAAAACUUUGAAAUCAUGCAGUUUUUAAGAUUUUCCAAAUUUUUCCACACCUUAAAAUUCAAGACUAAAAAAUUAGUUAUAAGCAUAGUAUAUAUAUAUAUAUAUAUAUAUCGGAUUUAUUAAAAUCUGAAACAAAUUUAUAUGUUGUAAACUGUCUUUUUCAAAGAUUUUACAAAAUUGUCAAAUCUUUUACAAUGUCGUAAAUAUCUUUUGAUAAAAUUGUCACCUUGGACCGAAUUUUAAUCUUUGGGAUUGGAAAUUUUUUGUAUAUAUAUUUUAUAUUGCCCGAGGGGAUGUUGACUAGAAUAGGACAAUCACGACAGGCGCAUAACAAUCAAUAUUUUCUAGACAGAACAAAGGGAUGUGCAGUGUUGGCAAAAUUCACCCAGCCCAUUUUCAGCCAAACCAGUAUGAAAAGAUUGGCGAUUAUAGAUAUUUACCCUCAACGGCAGCCAAUGGCAACUUCUUCAUUCAACACCAAACGGGGUGAAUUAGAAGUCGUGUCUUGGCCUUUGCAAUCAACUGGAUUGUCUACAAACCUCUCUAUUUGUUUGCUCUAUUAUCACACCUUGGGUUUCCUUUGAAUUAAUUGGCCGUGCAUUUACCAGAACCUAUUUUAGUUUUUGCUGGAAGAGUAACGAUUUGCAAAGAUCUUGUACAAAACAUUACAAAUUGCAUUAUUCAACUGAAAAGAUUGAUUCUUUUUUUUUAAUUUUUUAAAAAAUAAUUUUACUGAAGAUGCGUAAAUGAUUUCUAUUGGUGGGAUUCAGACGUUAUGGCUAAUUUCGGAUUAAAAUGUUUCUCUCUCAAUUGAUGGGAUUCUCCUCCUCCUCCCGUGUACAGCCUUAUUUCAAGACAUGUCAAUGGAUUUUCCCGCUACAUAUUCUCUUAACAUUAUACCUAUAUAUGUUGUCGUCUGAUUAAGCUCUAUGCUUUUGAUAAGAUAAGAACCAUAACAUCCUACUGAAUUUUCAUCAGCUUUUCCUAUUUGUUGGGACCACUCAGAAUAAAUAAGUAAAUGAACUCCAUAAUAUAGUUGGUCCACUCUAUCCACUAUAUUCUAGUAUUAUAAAGGAUAAUUUUUAAAAACAUCCCCUGAGGUUUGGACUUGUUGCAAGUAGAUGGCGAGAAUCUGUUUAUUUGUAAAAAAUCUCCUACCGUCAGUUAACUUUAACAUUAACCGUUAGUUGACUGUGCAAAGAUAAUAUUACCCUCAACAACAAUUUGUAGACGGAAAUAAUUAAAAAAAAAUUAAAAUUGUUGGCGCGAAAAGCACAAACCUUAUUUUUUGACAAUUUUAUCCUUGUCAAUUCCAAAAAUUUACAAUAUCAUAGGUAAAGAUUAUAACUAUUUUAUUUUCAAGUUUUUAAUUUUAUCUUUUUUGUAGAAACUUUAAGAAAAUAUCAAUAGUUUAAAGAGAAUUUUUUAAAUUUUUAUUUUUAUCUUUCUUGUAGGAACUUUAAGAAAAUAUCAAUAAUUUAAAGAGGGUAAAAUAAUCAAUAAUUUUAAUUUUUUUUUAGUUAUUUCUGUCUACAAAUUAUUGUUAAGGGUAAUAUUAUUUUUGUACAGUCAACUAACGGUCAAUGUUAAAAUUAACUGACGGUAGGGGGUUUUUUACAAAUAAAUCAAUUCUCGCCAUCUAUUUGCAACAAGCCCAAACCUCAGGGGAGGGUUUUAAAAAUUACCCGUAUUAUAAAUAAUGUGAUAUUUGACCGGCCGGGUACAUACAUAGUAUCGUGCCCUUCAAAGACGAAAUCCAAGAACAGAGAAGAAAAUUCAUAUCAAAUAAUAUACUGAGCUCAAUUUAUUUAGUUACCACAUCUAACGGUGACUUUAGCUUAUGCCAGAAUGUUACAAUAACGGUAAGAGCAAAAUUAAGAAUGAAUAUUUUGUAGGCAGAUCAAGGAGAGUACACAGUUGGCACAACAAGAAGAGGUGAUUUCCUUUGAAGGGUUAACCCAGUAGCUUCGCUCAUGUCCAAAUUCUCCUCAACUGGACCAUCGGGCAAUUUCCAGUCAAACCAGUAUAAAAUGUUGGCAAUCACAUACUCAACUGCAGCUACAGCAAACGAUAUUCCAGGGCAGCUUCUUCUGCCAGAACCAAAAGGGAUGAAUUGGAAAUCUUGACCUUUGUAAUCAAUAGGGCUAUUCUCAAACCUCUCAGGCAAGAACUCUUUAGGUCUGUCCCAUAAUUUGGGGUCCCUUUGAAUUGCCCAUGCAUUUACAAACACUCUAGUUUUGGCUGGAAUAUCAUAACCUCUCAAUUUGACACACUCUCUUGUUUCUCGAGGAAGCAAAAGAGGAGCUGAUGCAUGUAAUCUGAGGGACUCUUUGAUAACACAUUUCAAGUACUCCAUCUGAUCCAAGUCCUUCAUAUCUAUAACUAAUUUCCCUUUCACCACACCUCUAACCUCUUUCUGGGCUCUCUUCAUAAUACUUGGAUUUUUCAAUAAUUCAGCCAUCAUCCAUUCUAACGUUGUCGCAGCAGUGUCAGUUCCUGCCACAAACAUGUCCUGACAAUGCGAAACAUGAAAACAUUAAUUGAUCAGCCAUAUAUAUGAUUAGUGCGUGUGUGUGCAAGUUGGUUCGAGAGAGGAUUAGAAACAGAGGAGCUGAGGUUGGUUGAGACCAUGAGAAUUGCUUUAAGAGUGUCCUGAGUGAGCUCUAUCCCAUCGUUGCCAUCCUUUUGAAGUUGGAGGAGUACAUGGAUAAAAUCCUUUUUAUCAUCAUCAGUUAAUGUUAUCCUGUGCUCUUCAAUCACUUGAUCAACCAAAUCGCCCAAAUCUCUAGCAGUUUUGUGCAAAUGACCAAUGGAACCUGUAAGAAAAUCUAUCCAUUUCAAAGAUGGAUACAGAUCCCCAACACAAGUGCUUGCCAAAAGUAUCGGGUAUUUUUUUGUUAACUCUCCGAACUUGCUCUCUCCACUCCCAUUUUCUUCUUCAUCUUCAACCUUCCUACCAAAAAUGCACCGGGAGGCUAUGUUGUUGGAAACAGCCAGUAUCAUCUCAGAUAAAUUGAUAGUAGAUCCUCCAUGUACGUUAAUACCUGAACGACGGAUUUUAUUAAUCAAACAUGAAACUUCCUCGACUCUAAUAUGUUGAGCUGAUUUCACUCUUUUAUUACUCAACAGUUCGAGAACACAAAUCUUCCGAAGUUGUCUCCAGUACUCCCCAUAUUCAGCAAACCCGAGAUCUUUCCCAUCAUAAAGCAGAAUUUUUGUAGCAAUGGAUCGGGGACGGUUAGAGAAAGCAAUGUCAUGAGUCUUCAUCAUUUCGCUAGCCAACUCAGCCGAUGAAACCACAAGACUCGGAGAAUUGCCAAAGUAAACCAACAUUAUUGGGCCAUAACGGUCGGAAAGGGCUUUCAAAGAGCGAUGAGGGACAUUUUGUAGUAUCUGGUGAAGGUUCCCAAUUAUGGGUAACCGUGGAGGGGAUGGAGGUAAGUUGAGUUUGUUGCUGCUUCUGCUGAGCUUCAGCAAAUGUACAAGUGUUAAGAGGAGGAUAAGAAGAAGAGAGAGAGACAAUGGGUUGUAAAUUUCUGAUGUAUCUGGAAAAGGCUGCAAUUGCUUCAUCAAGACUAAUGGCAGAGCCAUUUCUUUCGGGUUCUGAGUUUUUCUAUGGGGACAGGUUAGUUCAUCAAUUCUCAACUCUUUCAAACCUUCUUAUUAUUGCCCAUUUAUGUAUUUUUAUUAUUAUUAUUAUUUCGAUUUUCGGUACUAGCCCAUGAAAAUUUAAUUUAUUCUUUAACCAUGUGAGCUGAUUCCAACUCAUGCAUUUUGUACCACUUCAAAAGAUUGCAUUAAGUUAACUAGCACCUACGAUAAUUACUGCCAAAUUACUUCCAAACCAACAGUAAUUGAGUUGAAAUAUAUCUAUAAUUUUUCAAUAAUGUAAAUUUUAAUUAGUUGUACGUAAUCUUACAUGAGGACGAUUGGCAUUAUUAUUAUAUAUUUUCAGUAAAGAUACACUUACGUGUUUAAAAUUAGUCAUAAUCGAUCUCCGAUCAAUUUCAUUGCUAUUGCCCUUUUUUAUUAGAAAAUGUCAGCAUUUGAUUUCUUCAUGAACUUUGUCUUUUAGUUAUGGUCCUAUCUGGGAUUGAAAUUAAGUAUCUAUUACAUCUUUAAGUUCUAGUAUUAAAACGAUUGAUAAACAUUAAUUGUUGUAACUUGAAGUUAAGUUGAUUUGAUUUUACACUUGUAUGAUUAAAAAUCUAUUACAUCUUUAUACUUUCUACAUAUUAUUAAUUUUUAUUUUAUAGUUACAGUUUUUUUCUACAGCUUUUCCACAACAGUUGUACCUUAAAAACUAUAAUAUCUCAAUAUCAAAUAUGACCAAUUAAAGAUUCUUUCUCCACCAACAAAGUGUUGGCUCCACUAGCAAUGGAGUCCCCUUAAGUGGUUUGAUUAGGUUUGCUCCCCAAUUCGAGUCGCAGGGAAGUCGCCUUUGUUGGAAGAACAUGUGCCUCCCGGUUCGAGCGGAAACUUUUAGUCUGGGUUGUGGUACGGGUUUAAAGGUGCCUCCCACAGUUGAAGCCCUCUCCAGGAUACCUCGUGGUUAAGACAAAAAAAAAAAAAAUUCUUUCUCCUAAGAGAAAAGAUGCUUUAUAUUUUUAAAUUAUUCUUAAUUACUUGUAACUAACACUCUAGCACAAUUAAUGUGUUUAAAUAAGAAGGUUUAGUAGUAAUCAAUGUGUUUAAAUUUUUUUUUUUCUUGGGAGAUAUCAGUUACCUACUGAUAUCAAUUUAUACCACUUACUUUUACUAUUUUUGUAAUACUUAAUAAUCAUUGCACCAUGAUUUUAUAGUAUUACCCUUAAAUUUAUAUACACUUCCAUUCAUAUUUAUGAUAAUUAAAUAAAUCAUGUAAAUUGAAAUUAAAAAAAAAAGUUAAAUACUAAAAGUCAUAAAUAUCAGUUUCGGUGUGAAUAAAAAAAUUAAUAAUAACAUAUUUUUUCUUGUACUUUUUGUUAUUUUUAAAUAAUUUCUUAUAAUAAAUAUAUAUUUUAUAUUCCUAAGAUCAAGUAUCAAGCAAAUAACCCAUUUACCCUUCUUUCUCUUUAAAAUUUUGGCAUUAAGAAUUGGAUAUUAUGAAAAAAGUAGGGUAAACAAUAUAUAUUAAUUUCAGUAGUAGGAAACUGUUAAUCUUUCUUUUUUUAUUUUCAAAAAUGACUUCAAAUGUUAUAGACACAAAUUUCCCAUAAUAAGAAAUUGAAGAAAACAGAAAGAACAAACGAAUGAACAACUGAUAAGUAGGUUAACUUCAAGAAAUCCAAACCUCCCAAUAGAUAAUAUUGGUACUUUGAGUAUCAACACAUCUAAGGAUCCAUUUGGGAUUGAGGUUGGACAAGUUACAAUGUUUGGUAAACACUAACUACUGUAGUUUGGAAGCUAUAUUGAUAUGGUUUUUCACUUUUAUGAUGAAAAUUCUAUUAUAUCUUUAAUAAUUUUGUCAAAAUUAUUAUUUAAAAUUUAUAUUUACUACAUACUAUUAAUUUUUGUUUCAUAAUUACAACUUUUUUCCAUAGCAGCUAUACCUUAAAACUUAGAGCACCUUAAUCACAAAUAAAACCUAAAUACAACUCAUAAUUGUCAAAUAAUAUUUUAUACUAUCAUUAUUAGCACUGUUGCUAUUUUAAAUACUACUUACAAUUACAGACAAAACUUAAAACUAAUGAACAUGAGCCACAAUCCUAAUCUAACGCAAAUAACCACAAUCCUAAUCUAACGCAAAUAAUUAACUAAUUUUAGGUACAUGUUAACCAAAAGCAAUAGGAUAAUUACCACCUAAAAUAAAAUAGUUAUCUCAUGGAGAUCGUUCAUAAAUUUCUUAUAAUUAAUCUCCUAUCGAUUCAAUUACUAUUAAAGUGUUUUUUAAAAUAAAUGUUAACAUGCUUUAUUUAAAGAUGCUUUCCAGAUGAGAGGGAAAGAUGCUUUAUGUUUUCGGUUUUCACUCGUCCUAAGAUGGAGCGUGAUCAUAUCAUAUUUUCUAUCUAAAUUUGAAGCUUUCAAAUCCUAAAUCGGUAAUGGCUAUCUUAGAGUUGUUCUAAGGUAAAGUAUAAAUUAUAACCACAUUCGCAAAGUGAUAAAUAAUUAAAAAAAAAUUAUACAAUCGUAUGAUUAUUGUUGUUGUCAUCGUAAAUUGUCUAUCACUUGCUGGAGAAUGUUGAAAUGAAGGAAAAAUGACAAGAAAGUUAUAUAUUCCAUCAACUAGAACAUUUUUUUUUUUGGGUGUUAAUUCAAUUGUGCUUCACUCUUGCCAUUGGAUCUUGAAAAACAGAAGCUAAAUGACAAGCAAAUAAUUAAAUCUACAGUAGCUAGGUUUUUUGUGUUUGUUAUUACUAUUAACAUAUUAUUAUUAUUGCUGCAGUUGUUGUUAUCUUAAAUUAUCUGUUGUUUUUUUUUAAGAAUCUUAAAUUAUCUAUUACUUGCUAAAUAUAUAUCGUUGAAAGUAAAAACAAAUGACAAGCAAAUAUUCCAACAGCUGGCAGUUUAAUUUUUUGUUUAUUACUACUAUUAACAUAUUAUUAUUAUUAUUAUUAUUAUUAUUAUUAUUAUUAUUAUUAUUAUUGCUGAUGUCGUUCUUAUCUUAAAUGAUCUGUUAAUUGCUAAAUAAAAUAAAAUCAAAUAUUGCAACAGCCGGCAGUUUUUGUUGUACUUACUGUUAUUAUAUAUUGUUCGAUAUGUAGGUAGGGAAUGCGGAUAAAAAAUUUGAAACGGAUAGAUUAUUUACACUCUAAAAAUUACUUUGAGCACUUUAUUUGUGUACACUCAUUUAUUAAAUUAAAAAAAAUUAAAUUUAUCUUGUAAGCUCUUAAAAAUAGCAAAAAGAAUUCUUAUUUAAACCAUUUAAAUUAAUUUACAACAUCAGUAAAACUAUUCAGCACUCUCAGAAGAAAAUUUUAGCGUAACUUACAACAAUCGAAUUAAGUCAAGUAUUAAACGGUCUUUUUAAAAUAAUUUUACUUAGUAGCUUUAGUUGAUUAAAGAAUUAUCAAAUAUCAAUUUUUACACUCUCAAAAUCUUUAAAAUCAACAAGUAUUUGUGGUGUUCGCGGAUUGGACAUCAAUCUAUAUCUGAUCCACGAUUUUGCAGAUUAUAAAUUUUCAAUCCAUAUGUCUACGGAUAGGAUGCGGAUUUGGCCAAUCCAUAUCCAAUCCACUAUUUGGCGGUUGAUUUGCGAAUAAUUUUUUUUAAUCUUGUCCAAUCUACGAAGUAAUUAAAUUAAAAAAUCUAAUUUAUUUAAAAAAAUUAAAAUUUUUUAAUUUUUAAUUUUGUCCAAUCUACAAAGUAAUUUCAUUUAUUUAAAUUAAUACAUGAAAAUUAACUAAAUUAUGAAUUUAAAUGUUGAAACUUGAGAGUUUUGAUGUAACAGGAAGAAAUUAAGAAACUUGAAGAGCUUGAAAAGCUUGGCAACAAGGUAAGAAAUUAAUCUUAAUUACCUCAACUCCUCAAGCGGUGAAGUGACAUAGUGAUGGCUUGUGCAUACAGUGGGGUAGAGCUUUGGUGUUAUGUGCCAAAAUGUUUUCUUUGGCUUAGAAUUUUUUGUUUUGCUUUUAAAUUUUUAAUGUUUAGGAAGUUAUAUUUGUUUAUUUAAUUAUUCAAAUAUUUAAUUAAUUUUAUUUUAUAUUAUUAUCGAAUAAGAUAUAAUACGGUGUUAAAACACUUUAAUUAUUUAAUUUAUUAAUAAGUAGCAUUGCUACAUUUAUGAGUUUUACUUUUUAUUAAAUAAAUAUAUUUUUUUUACAGAUUCACGAAUUUUUACAGAUUUACAGAAGUAAAUCCAUAUCCAAUCCACCAACUGCGGAUUUUUAAAUUUGCAAUCCAAUCUAAUCCACCAAUCCAUAAAUCGGAUUUCUACAGAUAAGAUUUUUGCAGAUCACACAGAUUGAGUGGAUUAGAUUUAAUUGUGAAUACCCCUAACAAGUAUGGACUUUCAUUGCCCCUCAAUAACGAUUGAAAAGCAAAUCACCAUCUCACAUAAAAAUGAAGAAGACCGAGAAGACGUUGACUGGGUUGAUUGGGUUAGUAGGUUUAGAGUGCUUUUAUUUUCUUAUUUUUAAAUCAUAGAUAAAAAAUAUGAGAAUCUUUGAAAUUCUUUCAGUUUAUUUUAUUUUUUUGAAAAAUCUAAGGCUCACAUAUAUUUUGACCUCAAAAUAAUUUAAAAUAUCAAUUUGUUGCAUGUAUUUUUUAAGAUGUUAGAAAUAAAAGUGUUAAGGCUUUUGCUAAGAAAAGUAAAUUUUGAAUAAUGAGUGUGCUAUAUGAGUAUUCAAAAUUGUAUUGGCACAUAAAUAAAUUGUCCUUAAUAGUAAAUUUAUAAUAAAUUAUUUUAUUAAAAAAGAAUGUUUAGGUAAUUUUUAGAGUGUAAAUAGCCUCACUCGUUGAAAUAUACGGAGGGAGCACGCAAUUCACGUGGUUGCUCUAGUGGGACCAACCCCCAUCAAUCAAAAUUCAGUAUCCCUCUACUAAUUAUAUAUAAAGGCUGAAGGCCAGUGCAGUAUUUCAACAGUGCUUAUUCUUUCUGUUUACAGUCGGUUACUGAAAAUCAUUAGGGUUUAUAAAAAUGUCUCAAAAUAGUAAUAAGGUGGAAACUGUAGUGGAAGUGAGGGCUCCUGCUGCCAAGUUUCAUCAAGUGUUCAGCUGCUGGCCACACAGCCUGGCCAGUAUGAGCCCCCAAAGUAUUCAGGGCUGCGAUUUACUUGAGGGGGAAUGGGGGAAGCCUGGCUGUAUCAUCUGCUGGAGAUACUUUCAUGGUGAGAAUUAAUGUUCACAUCAUGUCACAUAUUCAAUCACUAGCUAUAUAUGACCUUCUAACCAUCUAAUAUGAUUACGUAAAAAUGAAGAAUCAUGCAGUAAUGAAAAUCAAAAUAAUUAAUAUGUGUUGUUUCCAAUCUAGGCAAUCAAUGUAAAUUGGAUUGAUUGUCAAUCAACAUACUCAGUCUCUUACAAAUAUAUCAAUCAUUAGGAUUAAUUUAUGCUAACUAUUUAUCUUGUUUUUCAUGUUUAAUCACUGUACCAUUAAGCCCUUUUGGCUUUUUGUAAUGAUCUAUAAUUUAACAAUUAGAAUAUUCUUGUCAACUUAUAUAGUUCCAACCAAGGUUGCUCAAUACGUACAAUGAUGUGAUAAGGAAGCUCAAUAUAAUUGCAAAAUGAUUUAUUGUUCUCGUGGAAUGAAACACAGAUGGGAGCCCUCAAAUUGCAAAGGAGAUAAUAGAAGCGAUAGAUAAUGAAAACUACAUAACCAAUUACAAAGUGAUUGAAGGAAACCUGUUGGAGUUGUACAAGAGCUUCUCUUCGACUGUUAAAGUGACUCCAAAAGAAAACGAUGAUGGCAGUUUGGUGCACUGGAUUUUUGAAUACGAGAAGCUGAAUGAAGAUGUUCCAGAUCCCACUGGCAAACUUCAAAUGGUAAUUGAUGUUGCCAAAGAUAUUGAUGCCCUUCUCCUUUCUCAGCAGCCGUAGGCCCAGAGAUAAUAAUCAUCAACUCCUCUUUUUAGUUCUUGUUCUAAUAAAUUGUUGUGGCUUUUGUCUUGGAUGUGCGCCUAUUUUAAUUAAUUUGUAAGAAAUUAAAUUCAGAAAAUAAUGGUAAAAGCUUUUUUAAUUUUCUCUUUUUAUUAAGUUUAUUAAGUGUGUUUGUAAAUAGGGAUGGCAAAAUCCCCACGGGGACGGGUACUCUUGGGGAUUUUCCCUAUUCGGGGAGGGUAUAAGGAUAAUUUCAUACCCAAUUUCUUAUUCGGGGAAGGGACGGAGAAAUUUUUUUACCCAAUUUCUUAUUCGGGAAGGGGACGGGGAUGAGGUGGAAUCCCCAUCCCCUACCCAUUUCCCUAUUUUAAUUUUUAAUUUAAUUUAAUUUUUUAAAAUUACUAGUAAAUAAAUAAUAAAAUGUGAAUUAUAAAAUUAUAAGUAUUGGUAAAAAUAAAAAAUACCAAAAUAUUUAUAUUAUUAAACUUUUAGGCCUAAUUAACUAAUUAAAGUCCUAAAUUUUUAUUUAGGACAUUAAAAAGACCGGACAGAUUCUAUUAGCCCAAAACUUUUGUUUUAAUUUUAAUUUCAUUAAAUAUUUUAAACUUAAAUCUAUUUUUUAUUUAUUUUUAGAUGUUAUAAUUGCCCACAGCAAAUCACAAUUUUAAUUUUAAUUUGCUUCGACUUAACUAUUGUGUUGUAAAGGGAAUAAUCCACAUUUAUAAAGUGCCUACGCCACCAUUGAAAAGUUAAUUUUGAAUCUAAAUUUGAUUUUAUUUGUAAUAAUUUUGUAUUAGACUAUUAAUUUGUUCAUGAUAGUUUGUAUCCCUUGCAUGCUGCGUUACUUACUAAUUUAAUGUAUGUGACUUUUGUAAUGGAUAUUAAUGUAAGAUAUAUUUCGAACUUUACUUUUAUUUGAAUUUUUUAUUUUAAUAUGAUUAACUCAAAAUCGAAAACAAAAAAAUGUAUUAGUUAUUUGGGGAUCGGGGACCCUCGGGGAUCCCCUGUUAUUAUUCGGGGAGGGGAUGAGGAUUCUCUAAUUUUGACAGGGAUGGAGAGGGGACGGUGACAUACGCAAGAUAUCGGGGAUGGGUACGGGGAGAUUGGUCCCCUCCCCUCCCCUCCCCAUUGCCAUCCCUAUUUGUAAAUUAAUUUAAACUGUCGGAAUAAAAUUACACAAAUAUUUUGAUUUAUCACUGAAUUUAAAUGCUUUUAGUUUUUUUUUUUGGAUGAUAAACCAUAAUACUUUAUCUUCAUAAAAUAUUAUUUUUUUCGCCAGUCUUUUUUAUAAGAACAAAGUUAUAGUAAUAAUAUUUUUCAUUACUUAUCAUGCUAAUGUCAUAUCACUUGAGACAUCUCUAUGUAGUUUCAAAAUUUAUCUGUGAAUCCCAAAUUAUGGUUGGAGCUAUUUGUAAAAAUUAUUACGAAAUAUAAUCUUCUAAUAAGGACAAUUUAAUUUAAGUCAAUGUAAUAUUAUUACUCUUCUCACCAUUCAAUCCAAUUAUCUUGUCAUAAACCUAAAAUUUCCUCACGAUUAAAUCUAGUUAAUUAUUGAAAACAGAAGAUACUUAAGAUUUAACAAAUUUUUUAUAACCCGCCAACUUCACGACUUGAAAAAAAUACUUGUUAAUUUUUUGGAGAAAAAACCAGCAGCAACAUGGGAAAAAAGAAAAGAAAAACAGAACUUAGUAGCAUCCUACCAUUGAUUGAACGUUUCAAUUAAAAAUAUAAAUUUGGCUCUAAUGAAGGUAACUCUGGAAUGAGGACAAGUCUAAUAAAGAUUAUUUCAUUUUUCUUUUUUAGACAUUUGGUAUCAUCAUUUAACCACAAAUUCAAUUGUUAAUUUUUUUUAUUAUAUAAGAUUAUUGUUCAUAUUACAACUCAUAUUAGAGGGAUGUCAACUCCACUCACAUUUCAAAAGAGAAAAAAUUGCCUUCACUCAAUUUUGAAGAAGAAAUUAAACUCUCACAAUAUUAUUGUGGGGGUUCAAAAGAGUUGCUCUAAUCACGCGGCCAAAGAUUAAAUAAUUGUUAUUUUUAUUCAGUUUACAAAUGACAACGCUCCCCCUUUUAUGGGCUUUCAGUGUUUAAGCCUAGAGCCUGGCCCACUGAGAAUCCAUGAAAAAAGUAAGCAUUGAUGGACGAACAGAAAAAUUGACUUGCUGCAUUGUUAAAACUUGAAAAUUAAAACCCAACCAAUCUUAGUUCACAAUAUUGUACGAAUCUACGGGGUACGGCACAUGAGCCAGCCCAGGCCAGCUAGUAAUUAACACACAUUUUUAGCCAUCUCUUCUUCUUCAGCAUAUCAUUUGAAUUUUGAUCAUCAAGAUGCCAAGACAGUUAUUCUUCAGCUCAACUUAAUUUCCGUUAAUUAAUAACAAACACUUUCAUCUAAAUCCAUAUAUGUGCUUAAAGUCCAGCCAAAAGAAGUUCAAAUUAUCAGAUCAGCCAUGCUCUUUCAGCUUCUAAUCUGAUGUAAUUUCCUCUUUUCAUCCUCCCAUUAUUUAUUUUCAUCCUCAUUACACAAAAUACAAAAACGAACAAAUCAAGGUUCUUGAGUAGUACCGACAACUUUGUCACAGUUAGAUUUUUGGAAAUGCAAACGAGGAAGAAGAUUUCCACUGUUUUUAUUGAAUUUAGUUUUUUAGUACAAUUACAAUAAUGGCUAUGCUUAAUAUUUAUAGACGUAGCUUACUAGCUUAUUCACCAAGCACAUCACUAAGCUUUAUUUACAACUUUACCUGCAUAACAGAAUAACAAAUUCCAAAUCUAAUAAACCAUUUAUUAAUAGCUAGCAAACUCAUCAACUUACCAACUACUACUUUUGUGAGCCCAGGAAGAUCAAUUAGCGCCAAGUUGACAACUAUCAAUGCGAUAAAAAAUCAUAGACAAUUUCAGAAUUCACGGGCAAUGGAAAAAGUAAAAUAAAACUACUAUUGAAAUAACACUCUGCAAUUUUUUGGAAAAGAAAACAAUAAUCAUCGAAAAUUUAAGUAGCUUUACUACUUAAGGGUGCAUAACACUAUGCAAUUUUUGGAAAGAAAACAAUAAUCAUAAAUAAAAAAUCAAGCAUAUUUUACCAACCUCUCUGAUAGUAUGAGCUAAUUACAAGCUUUGCAUGGUUGAUAUAUCCUAAAUAUAUGAACUAUUUUUCACACCAAGCACAGAGCACAUAAUUAGGCUAUAUGAUGGACUUUGCAAGCUACUCUUGCCGUAAAGAACAAAAAUCCAAAUAUAUAAAUGUGAAGGGCUGACAAUUAGCAAAUACAUGCAUUUGAAAACCCCAUAAAGCAUUUCCCAUUAGCAUAUAAUAGGCUCCAUAAAUACAUAGCAUCACAUAAAUACAGAGCGUAAAUUUGGCUCCAUAAAUACAUAGCAUCACAUACGUUUUAGGUUGCAAAAAUUCCAAAUAUCUUGAUAUAGUGACUAAAUCCAAAUAUCAUAGAGCAAAUUCACCGUGAACAUGAAAAGACUGUUCAACAUGCUGGGCAUCGAAUUUUUUCAAUACGUAUUCACCAUUAACAUGAAUAGACUUAACAAAUCAGCAAGAAAUUUACCUGAUCAACAUGCUGGGCAUCACCAGGCAUACAUACUUUCAUCUUAAGAUGAAAGUGGAGAUUGCCACCUCAUUCGAUAGUUUACUCACAUCAGCUACACAAAUAGAGUUAAACGAUAAUUAAUAUUGGGAAACAAACCAAUUCUAAAAUCAAUGAGAAAAGCAUAAUAUGGGGAAACAGAGCAAUGGAAUAACACAAAAACACAAUAAAAGAAUCAUCAAAUCAAAUUUCAAUAAAAAUUACCUUGAUUGAUCAAAUGGCAGCGAAGGUGGCGAUGGUUGGUCAAGUCCGGCGAAAAAUGAGAGUGCCAAUGAGAAAGGGUUAGCGGUUUGGAGGUGCAUAACGGCCGGCAAGGGGAAGCUCCAUUGGGGCUCGGAGGUGGCGAUAGGACCGAUAGUGUUUUGAGAGAGACGACUUUAGAUCCAGGUUUUUGUUAUAUUUCUUUUAUUGUGUUCAGUAUUUUUUUUAAUUAUUUGAUUAAAAUAAAAAAAAUAUUUUGAUUUUAAAAAAACUUAUAGCUCGGAUUCGGGUUCGGGGCCUGAUAAAUCUCCAAAUCCAAACCCGAAAUAUAUUUAGGGCUUAGAUUUAUCCCAAUUCAGGCCCAUUUUUAAUUCUAAAGAUUUUCAGGAGUCCCGACCCGAAUUGAUCAGGGCCCCGCAGGGAAUGUUGCCAACACUAUCAACGGUUAAAUCUUCAUCAUCUCAAAACACACGAGAGAGAAUAUCAUAAGAUGAUAAUGAAUUUGAUAAUUAAUUCUCCAUACAUUUUUUACUAUUUUAUACCGGAAAAAGCAUAUUCCAAAAAAUAAUAAUGAACAAGAAAACAGUGAAUGAACUUAAAAUGCGCACGUAUAAUAUAAGUCAUUGGUCAACGGUCAGCGUCAAGACUAACUGUGUCUACUCCAAGUGGCCACGCUGCCACCACAUCUAUAUAUCUAUAUGUAAGAGAGAUUGUAAAAUCUUUCAAGUUUUUUGGUUUGAUAUUUUGGACGAAAACGGUUUGCCGUUUAUUGAGAAAACGGCUAACCGUUUAAGUCCAGAGAGCAUGUUUUCUGUUCUUGGUAAAACAGCGUACCGUUUAUGGAGAAAACGGCUAACCGUUUAACUCCAGAGAGCAUGUUUUAUGGUCUAGAGAAAACGGCUCACCGGUUAUUGAGAAAACGGUUAACCGUUUAUGUAUCGAGAGCAACAUAUUUGACAUUCUGGAAUAAAACGGCUCACCGUUUAUUGAGAAAAUGGUUAACCGUUUAUUUCUAGAAAGGCGUCAACUAGAAACAGUUGACAAGCUUAAAAAUUUCAAGUGUUAAUCGUUGCAAAUUUAAACCAAAAGAGUUUUUUGAAGAAGUACCAUUUCGAAUGGUUGCAUUCUUUUGAAUUAACAUCUUCUUCAUAAAGGAAACAUAUACAAUUAUAUUAAUAUCAGAUUUUGCAGGUUUCAUAUAUGUUUUGGAAAUACAAUCUUAUUUGCUAGAGAUUGUAUUCAGGAUUUGAUAUAUCUUGGGGGUAAUUUACCAUUAAAACUUUAUAACAAACCAAGAUUGGUGAGGGCAAAUAAAACCUUAAAGGAAAGUGUGCAAACACGUCUCAAAUCCUAAGAAAACUUCUUUGUUCUUUGCCUCCAUAUUCUUAUUAUUUUCUAACACUAUAUGCACAUAAAUCUUAUUAGGAACGCUGUUUUGUAAAUCAUUUAUCAUAUUUGUUCAAUGUAUCCAAGAUUGUAACGAGUUGUUGAUCAUCAUGAACUCAUCUAAUUACCCAAAUCAGAAGUUUGAUCAUCAGCACGUGGCAAUCGGCUUACCAGCAGCUGGUUUUCAGCAGCAACAUGGGCAUGUGCAUCAGCCCACAGUGGGACCUUGGUCCUCAGGACUCUGUGACUGCUGCUCCGACUGCUCAACUUGUAAGUUCCCUUCAAAACUAAAGUGUAAUUUACGUACUUUUUUUUUCACUCCGUUAAUAUACGAUUGACGUUCGUGAUACUGACACACACUGGUUAGCAUUAGUAUGUUGUGACUACAAAUUAGCUUAUGCUGAUGAAGAACAGAUCGAGGCUGGCUACUGAAAGUUUUUAUUAAUUAAUUUAUUUGUUUCUUUGAAUUAAUUAACAGGUUGCUUGACAUAUUGGUGUCCCUGCAUCACUUUUGGUCGAAUUGCUGAGACUGUUGACAAAGGAUCUUCUUGUAAGUGAUCUGUUCCCAAAAUUAACUAUACAUAUAGUUUUUAGUUUUAGUUGAUUUUAUUAAAUUUUAAAGAUUUAUUAAUGUGAUUGGUCACAAAAUUGGUCUGCUUGCAGCUUGUGGUGUGAACGGCGCACUUUAUUUUAUAAUAGCUUGGCUGACUGGCUGCGCUUGCUUAUACUCGUGCGGCUAUCGAUCUAAAAUGAGGCACCAGUACAUGUUAAAAGACAGCCCUUGCGGGGAUUGCUUGGUUCAUUUUUUCUGCGAGUCGUGCGCCUUGUGUCAAGAAUAUCGCGAGCUCAAAUCCCGUGGAUUCGACAUGGCUCUCGGUAAUUAAUUUAAUUCUCUGAUGAUGACCCUUUAUUAAAUUAUUAAAUCAUUGUUUAAAUUAGUUUCC
rnacentral:lncRNA from 1 species